UUUUUUACUACACUACAUAUGUUGGUAAAGCAUUUACCUAAGUUAUGGAAAAUUCAUAAUUCAUCAGUUAUUUUAGAUAAUACUAAAAAACAAGAUAGAGUAAGAUACAGACGUUAAAAGAAAGUGGAUUCAUCAGAUGAUACAUGA
rnacentral:rRNA from 1 species